UACGUAGGGGGCAAGCGUUGUCCGGAAUCAUUGGGCGUAAAGAGCGUGUAGGCGGUUCGGUAAGUCGGCUGUGAAAGUCCAGGGCUCAACCCUGGGAUGCCGGUCGAUACUGCCGGACUAGAGUUCGGAAGAGGCGAGUGGAAUUCCCGGUGUAGCGGUGAAAUGCGCAGAUAUCGGGAGGAACACCUAUGGCGAAGGCAGCUCGCUGGGACGUUACUGACGCUGGAGAACGCGGAAAGCGUGGGGAGCAAACAGG
rnacentral:rRNA from 1 species